UACGGGGGGGGCAAGCGUUGUUCGGAAUUACUGGGCGUAAAGGGCUCGUAGGCGGCCAACUAAGUCAGACGUGAAAUCCCUCGGCUUAACCGGGGAACUGCGUCUGAUACUGGAUGGCUAGAGGUUGGGAGAGGGAUGCGGAAUUCCAGGUGUAGCGGUGAAAUGCGUAGAUAUCUGGAGGAACACCGGUGGCGAAGGCGGCAUCCUGGACCAAUUCUGACGCUGAGGAGCGAAAGCCAGGGGAGCGAACGGG
rnacentral:rRNA from 1 species